UUGGGAGGGGGCAGGAUGGGAGGGAAAGUAAAGAAAACAGAAAACGAGAGGGACAGACAGAGGCCAGAGGACUUCUCAUACCGGACAGAAACCGAUCAGGCAUGGAACUCCCCCUCGUCACUCACCUGUUCUUGCCCCUGGUGUUCCUGACAGGUCUCUGCUCCCCCUUUAACCUGGAUGAACAUCACCCACGCCUAUUCCCAGGGCCACCAGAAGCUGAAUUUGGAUACAGUGUCUUACAACAUGUUGGGGGUGGACAGCGAUGGAUGCUGGUGGGCGCCCCCUGGGAUGGGCCUUCAGGCGACCGGAGGGGGGACGUUUAUCGCUGCCCUGUAGGGGGGGCCCACAAUGCCCCAUGUGCCAAGGGCCACUUAGGUGACUACCAACUGGGAAAUUCAUCUCAUCCUGCUGUGAAUAUGCACCUGGGGAUGUCUCUGUUAGAGACAGAUGGUGAUGGGGGAUUCAUGGUGAGCUAAGGAAAGGGUGGUGGCAGUGUCUCUGAAGGUCCAUAAAAGAAAAAAGAGAAGUGUGGUAAGGGAAAAUGGUCCGUGUGGAGGGGUCAAGGAGUUAAAAACCCUAGAAAGCAAAAGGUAGGUAAUGUCAGGGAGUAGUCUUCAUGCCUCCUUCAACUGGGAGCAUGUUCUGAGGGUGCCCUCCCAAGCCUGGGAGUAACUAUUUCCCCCAUCCCCAGGCCUGUGCCCCUCUCUGGUCUCGUGCUUGUGGCAGCUCUGUCUUCAGUUCUGGGAUAUGUGCCCGUGUGGAUGCUUCAUUCCAGCCUCAGGGAAGCCUGGCACCCACUGCCCAACGUGAGCCAGAGGAAGGCUGAGUACUUGGUUCCCAGAAGGAGAUACUGGGUGGGAAAAAGAUGGGGCAAAGGGGUAUGAUGCCUGGCAGAGGGCCUGCAUGGCUAUCCUCAUUGCUACCUAAUGUGCUUGCAAAAGCUCCAUGUUUCCUAACAGAUUCAGACUCCUGGCCAGGUGUGGUGGCCCACACCUGUAAUCCCAGCACUUUGGGAGGCCAAGGUGGGCAGAUCACUUGAGGUCAGGAGUUCAAGACCAGCCUGGCCAACAUGGUGAAACCCCAUCUCUACUAAAAAAAAAAAAAUACAAAAAUUAGCUGGGCGCGGUGGUGCAUGCCUGUAAUCUCAUCUACUCGGGAGGCUAAGACAGGAGAAUCUCACUUCAACCCAGGAGGUGGAGGUUGCAGUGAGCCAAAAUUGUGCCACUGCACUCUACCCUGGGUUACAGAGUAAGCCAGACUCCGUCUCAAAAAUAAUAAUAAUUCAGACUCCUUAUUAGGAGUCCAUGAUCUGGCCUGGUGCAGUAGCUCAUGCCUGUAAUCCCAACAUUUUGGGAGGCCAACGCAGGAGGAUUGCUUGAGGUCUGGAGGUUCGAGACCAGCCUGGGCAACAUAGAGAGACCCCAUCUCUACAAAAAU
rnacentral:sRNA from 1 species